rnacentral:tRNA from 1 species
GGCUUCAUAGCUUAGUUGGUUACAGCGUCGCACCAGUAUCGCGAGGUCACAGGUUCAAACUCCGUUGAAGUCC